rnacentral:tRNA from 1 species
GAGGAUGUGGUUCAGUGGUAGAUCUCUUGCCUUGCACGUACAAGACCCUGGGUUUGAUCCCCAGCACCACCA